CAGACGUGUGUUCUUCACAUUGCAGAGGACAGGAUCUUUUGAUUAUCACAUUGUUUUUCAGUGCCUUUUAAUACUAGCAGUAGUGUUGUUACUCCAUGAAGUACCUUGGUUAUAAAUCAAAAUACAAGUAUUUUUGGUUGGAUAUAAAACUAAAUACGUCUCUCUUAAAAACAAAUAAAUGUAUGCUGUUUUGUCUAU